AUAUCAGUAGUGAAAAACUUCUGAAGUCUCCUAAAUCAAAAGCCCAGCUUACUUAUUUUUCUGGAUUUGAUUGAUUUACCAUUUCUUUCAGUAAAUCAUCGAAGUUCUAUCAAGUAUUAACUAAUUUAGUAAGACAGCAAAGCUAUUUAGUGGUUUCAAUUGGGGCAAUGUUGUUCAUGAAGUUUACUCGCUUGAGCAAUCUUAUUCAUGAAGCUUCCUGUUGCUUGAAAAGGGAAAAAAGUUAACUACAUAUUUUGUUUUGGUCUUUAUGAAAUUUAGCUAGUUCUCUUUUCACUUAUUAACUUCAAUUUCUGAAAUACAAAAACUUGAGGGUUGACGUCGCGUUAAAUGAAUUUUAAGGAACCAGAGUUAUUUAAACUAGAAACACUAAACGUAUAAUAUAAUUAAGCUUAAAGAUAUUUGCUGUAUUUGUUCAUAUUCAAAGUGGUUUUAGUAUCUUCUUGAUUUUUUAACCAAAUAAGGAAAAUUGGUUUGGUAUUGUUUCAGUUAUUGAACUGGGGAAGGGAGAUGCAUAGAUUUCAUUGUAGCACAUGAUAUCUGGCGACAAUAACUGCAGCGGAUUUUGUUUCUAUCUUGUGAAAAGUUGAAGUGUUCAUUGUUCAACCAUUAAAGUAGAAAGUUUUACGAAAAUUUGCUUUUGUUGUGGAAACGAAUUUCCUUUCCCUUUUAGGUUUGUUGUGAUAAAAAAUUAGGUCCACAGAUGAAUUGUUGCAAUUUUGAAUGUUCCUCGUAGCAUGUUAAAAUUCAUCAGCUAUUCUAAUUAAGUCCUAUUUGUAUAAUAUACGCAUUCCUAGGCAUGAAAACCAUGAUGACAUUUUUUGGAAGAAAUAGUGAUCUUACUGGUUGCUUCUACAUUCUACUUGCAGACUUACAGGCUCUAUUUCCAUUUUUCAUGUAAAUAUUAGUUACAGUUGAAUCAAACUGGGCUUUAUAUCCUACACAUGGUCUCAUUAGACACUUUUAAAGUGGUUUUAGAUUCCAAUAUUAGAUCCAAGAUCAUGGAAUUAAGCAGAAGCCACCAUGCGCAUCACACAGGGAUAUGCAGUACUGCUACUUCAGAAGUGUAGCCAUAUCUUGGUUGACACAUGGAUGAACUCUGUGAAGCUCAGCUUCUCUCUAGUUGCAUUUUGUCCUGUUUUGUUUAGGCUUAUGUAGAAUACUAGUACUCUCUACGUAUAACUCUUCACAAUUUUCAAAGGUCCCCAUUUCAAAGACUAUUCUCACAUGUUCUAUGCAGAGUAUGUAUACUCUGAAUGCAUCCGAACAGGCUAGGACAGAAGCACAUGGAGGAAAUCCAUAUUUUGCGACAUGACACUUCAAAUUACAUCUGAUCAUUAUAUAUAAAGCAAUGUUGUGAUUUCCAUAGUAUGUCUUGUCUCAUAUCUGUGUCAGUAUUGGUACUUCUUAGAGGAAUCCUACAAGGAUCAACCCAGGCAAAAUGUCCCAUGAUGCUAUCUGGACAGAUUUCAACAAACCAACAUUGUUGAAUGGAAUAAGAAAAGAAAACUACAGACUGAGCAAUUGGAUUUGCCUAGACAAAAGCACAAAUGCUGGGCUCGGAGAUUCUCCUGUGAAAAUGGUUCAACGUCUGAUGAUAUUUCAGAACCCAAAUCAUCCAGAGGCAGCAAUAGUUUCGGUGAAGAUUCGGACACUGCCAUAUCUGUAAAUGAAGAAGGGAAACUUCAGAUUGAUUGUGCUAAACCAUACCUCCAUGGGAGGCCUUCUCAUGGUCCUCUUGAAGUGGACAGAGUAAGUGAAAGAGAACCAUUCUGUGACGCUUUGAUGAAUCUUGAGGAGCAGUCUCUGGCUUUAGGAAUUUGUUCAGAUCAUGUUUACUCGGAAUAUGUGAGAGAUGGCAAUAUGCAUUCCAUUGAAAAAGAAGUUGAAGAUGUUUUCUCUACUCAUGGGGCGAUUCCCAACAUGUAUAUCCUGUCAUCUGGAAAAUGGAAUGUGAACCAAGAGGCUCAAUCAAACGCAAGGCCGCCAACCAUUGAUGAGGAAUUUGAGCAGUACUUCUCCAUGCUCAUGCUUUAGCAGACUAGCGCAGAUCACUUAUUAUAAAGGACGUAGAUGCGUGUGUGCAUGCGUCUGAAUUCUCAAAGUGGCUAUUUUGUACUCGUAUGUAUUGCUUGUAUACAUAUAACUAGCCGAUAUACGACUAGCCUUGUAAUCUAAUGCUACCACCAGUUCUUAUUAUAAAAAU